ensembl:lncRNA
CAGCCCCCUCCCGCCGUGCGGCCGCCCCGGCCCCGGCCCCGGCCCCAGCCCUUACAUGGACAAAUCUGCCUGCAGGGAAAGGCAGGAAUUUGGGCCCUUGACGUCAGCCGCGGGCAGAGCGCGGCAGCCCGGCAGAGCGGGACGCAGCGGCCGCCGCUUUUGCUUUUUGUUCCGGGGCCGUCCCGCCGAGCUCGGGGCCGCCGGCCGCCCCUCCCUGCGCCCCAGGGGAGGGCUGGGAAAGAAACCCAAAGUCGUGAGUCUGGUGGAGCCCUGCGUGUUUCCAAACGCCCUGCUCUGAGUUCAUCCCACCAGUAAGGCUGUGCAGCGUGAGAACUGCUGUUGCAAAACUACCAGAUUCAACCUCCUGGGGAGCCUUUCUGGCCAAGGUUUUACAAGCCAGCACCUGCUUUGCCUGCCUGACUUCUUUCUAUAUUUAUUCCUCUGCACCCGGUUUUUGCCUUUGCCUGUGGAACUGUCACAAACAUUUGUGCUGGCUUUUGACUGCACAGGACUUCAGCUUGCAAGUCCUAAAUCCGCCUUUGUGCAUGGUAGAGGAGCAAGCAUUUGUGUGCAUGGUUGUGCAUCUGUAUGUCUGAGCAUCCCUGGUCCUUGCUGUCUGCAUUACAUGGCCUGUGUCCCUGUGAUUCUGCAGCAGUCCCUCUGUUCUGUGCCCCUUCAAGAUGUUUUUAUGAAUCAAAUAUUCUCAGUCAUCCUUCUUAUGUAAUUUGUAAUUUUUCAUUUAAAUUAGCCACCUGUGACCCAGUGGCUGCUUUAUAAUGAUCUGUACUGCUGUGCAGGAGGCUUAAGUCAGAUUUUAUUCCCAGACCCCCAAGGUUUCACUUCCCAAGCUUACUCCUGUGGCAAGGAGGAGGAUUUGUGUUGCCAUGUAGCAGGGAACUCCUGGUUAGGCUGUGGUUGGACAUGGAUGUGUCUAUCCCUCUGGUUUCCCUCCUCUGUGUUGUUUGGGGUGGGAGGUGUUCUGAAGCAGAACACAGGUGCUUAGGUGCCUCUGUUUAAAGUGAGCACAGUAGCAAGAGAGAAGGUGUAAAGCCAUUUCAGCUGGGAAAAGGAGGGGAGAUCCUAGUGCUGUCCUGGGGAAAGUCAAGCUGGGGGAGUAGCUGUAUGAUGGGUCUCCCAUCAGCAAGUACAGCCCGAGGAGCCAUGUGCUCGUUCCUAGUUUGAUGGGUAUAACUUGCACACAUUGGAAAGCAGUGCUGGGCUGCCUGCCAGGAGCUGGGGAAUGGCUUGUCCUCAUCUGCUCAGGCCCCUGCGCUCCCACCCGUUCUUAACAGCUCUCCUCACUGCUGAAAUGGGAGUCCCUCUAAGGUCACAAAAGUGUUAGUCCCAGGUUUGACCCCCAGGAGCCAUAAAACGUACCCUGCCUGACCCCUCCUCAAAGGCAGAGGCAGUGUGAGCAGCCCUCACUCCCCUGAGUUUGGUGUCCCUGUCCCCACCACGUGUGCCACUGCAGCCUGCAUUCCUCUCCCAUUCCAUAAGCCCUCUGCCUCUCAUGCUGACACAGCUCAUGUUUCUCUGCUGGCAGGCCAGGCAAGGUGGUGGC